rnacentral:rRNA from 1 species
UAGGGAAUAUUGGGCAAUGGGCGCGAGCCUGACCCAGCCAUGCCGCGUGCCGGAUGAAGGCCUUCUGGGUUGUAAACGGCUUUUCUCAGGGAAGAAAAAGGUGAUGCGUCACAAACUGACGGUACCUGAGGAAUAAGCACCGGCUAACUCCGUGCCAGCAGCCGCGGUAAUACGGAGGGUGCAAGCGUUGUCCGGAUUUAUUGGGUUUAAAGGGUGCGUAGGUGGCUUGUUAAGUCCGGGGUGAAAGUCCACAGCCCAACUGUGGAACUGCCCUGGAUACUGGCGAGCUUGAGUCCAGACGAGGUUGGCGGAAUGGAUGCUGUAGCGGUGAAAUGCAUAGAUAGCAUCCAGAACCCCGAUUGCGUAGGCAGCUGACUAGGCUGGUACUGACACUGAGGCACGAAAGCGUGGGGAGCGAACA